ensembl:snoRNA
AGCACUGUGUGGUAUCUGCAGCCAGUUGGUUCCUCAGCUGGUUUGUUCAAAAGUCAGUGCUAGAACAACUCAGCGUCUGGCAUCGUUGGUCUCCAUGCUGCCGGUGUGUGGAGUCCUGGUAUGGUUGUUGAGACACUA